AUUACUGGUAAUAGGGUCUUUCUUUCCAGUUAGAGAAAUAUCGCUGGUUGAGAAAAUUGCAUAUGCUGAUGAAAGCUCUUUAAUUGAAAAUUAAAAACAAAAGGAAACACAUGUGCCCUUUGGACUUGAUUUUUCAUUCUCUCUCUCAUCACCCAUGCACACAACCAGGUAUGUGACGCAGUUGGGUUGCAAGAGCUGAAUCCUAGAAACUCCUAGGCAGGGCUCCUCCUCUCCAG
rnacentral:lncRNA from 1 species